UGUCCCCGCAGCGCGGGGAGUGGGAGGCGGAACGGGCGCGUCCAGCGCCUUGUCAGCCUCCUCCCCACCGCCCCCGCCCCCGGGGCUCUUCGACUUUGCUGGCUGCAGUGAGGAAGGACGCGCCGCGGCCCCCACCUUUGAGGGGUGAGUCUCCUGGUGCGCGCCGCUGGUGACUCACGAUUCAGCUUGGUAAGCAGAGGCCAGAAUACCAAGGAAUUUGGAGAUGGCGCCUAAUGAGAAAGGAAGGUUCCUUCUGGGGCGGAACUGGCACGCGAGUGGCUCCGGGAGCCGUAAGGAGCUGGAGGGUUCGUGAGUGGAGCCCAGCCUUAUAUGGACUGAUCGCUCAGGCAAUGGCCCAUUUUUUCCUCGCCACCAGCCGCCACCGCGCGCGGAGCGGCCGCCGGAGCCGGAGCUGACGGCACCUUGGCACCUCUCCUGGAGUUACAAACUGAGGCCGCGCGGCGCUGGGCGCGCAGGCCCCCAGUCACAGCCUACAUUUCUGCGUGCUUUCCGAGAAGAGAGAGGCACCGGGUGGGCUUUAUUUUUUUUCCCCUUUCCCUUUUCCCCCCACAGUGUCCUCUCAUUUUAAAUAAUAAUUAUCCCAAUAAUUAAAACCCAUCCCCCAUCCCUCCCCCCAUUCCUUUCCUUAAACCCCCCUCCCCCGCCCGCUGGGGCUGGGGAGAGCCACGAAUUGACCAAGUGAGGCUACAACUUUGUGGCAUAAAUUGCGGGGUCCGGAACCAUGUCGCUGACCAACACAAAGACGGGGUUUUCAGUCAAGGACAUCUUGGACCUUCCGGACACCAACGAUGAAGACGGCUCGGUGGCCGAAGGGCCAGAGGAGGAGAGCGAAGGGCCGGAGCCCGCCAAGAGGGCCGGGCCGCUGGGGCAGGGCGCCCUGGACGCUGUGCAGAGCCUGCCCCUUAAGAGCCCUUUCUACGACAGCAGCGACAACCCCUACACUCGCUGGCUGGCCAGCACCGAGGGCCUCCAAUACUCCCUGCACGGGCUGGCGGCCAGCGCUCCCCCCCAAGACUCGAGCUCCAAAUCCCCAGAGCCCUCGGCUGACGAGUCACCGGACAAUGACAAGGAGACCCAGGGCGGCGGGGGGGACGCAGGCAAGAAGCGGAAGCGCCGAGUGCUCUUCUCCAAAGCGCAGACCUACGAGCUGGAGCGGCGCUUCCGGCAGCAGCGGUACCUGUCGGCGCCCGAGCGCGAGCACCUGGCCAGCCUCAUCCGUCUCACGCCGACACAGGUCAAGAUCUGGUUCCAGAACCAUCGCUACAAGAUGAAACGUGCCCGGGCGGAGAAAGGGCAUCGUUAUUAAAAGAGGUGAAUAGGUCUCAGCGCCGCCAUCAGAGCAAGUGCGGAAAGGAGGGCUUGCAAGCGAACGUUUCCAAUGCUCCGAGAACCACGUGGGCAUUUCAAAACCGACGGAUGGAUGCCAGGAUCGAAGCUGCGGUGCCCAUAGUGUCCGCAAGGUGGAGCGAUUGGAUAAGAAAACAAUUUCAGGUCGGGCGACUGACUCAGGCCUGGGAGCACAAUCUGGUCAUCUGUGGAUUUGAGGGAUGUCUGGGUAAAGUCCAUUUACAGUAGGACCACAAUGCCAAAGAAAGAAUUACAAUUCUUUGGCUUGGUGCUUGUCCCUUGGAGUGUGAUGAAAAGGUUGAUGGCAUUCAACCUUUUUCUUUCGUCUGCCUUGUGGAUGUCAACUGUCUCUGUUACUGUCACCACCACAAUUGAAGCAUAUAUUUCCACCUCUUCAAAAUGUUUCCUGUGCCAGGAAAAUGUAAUUUAUUCUAAUAAAAAAUAACCUGACACUUGUUAGUCAAUUGGAAGACAUAGGAGGGAUCUCUUUCUUUCUGUUUUUCUUUAUCUGGGGUAAUUUAGAGCCUUUCUUCAUAAAGUGCUAAGAAACAGUGGCAGGUCUCUGAUGUCACCACCAUCUACCACUUUUGAAGGCACCUCCCAGGUUCCUCUCCUACAUCACCUCGUCUGGUGUGAGCAAUCAAUUCACUUUACAUGUGAGACUGGGUUUCACAGGUUACACUCCCAACACACACGAACCCAGAAAAAAGCCCCAAGAGCAGAGGGCCCACCUCGAAGGCAUUCCAUGCCAUUUCUGGUGAAGACAGGGAGGGACUGGGGAGAAAGGUUCCCUCCUGCUCUGCAGAAUUAGCUUGGAAUCACCUACCAGGUUCCUGUUAGCAGCCACACACAGGUCCCAGAGUCCUCCAAGUUCUUAGUAUUUUACCUGUAUGUAUGUUUGUACACCAUGUGCAUGCCUGGUGCCCACAGAGAUCAGAAGAGUUCUUCAAAUAUCCCUGGACCUGGAGUUGAGGAUGCUUGUGAUCCACCAUGUGGAUGCUGGGAACCAAAUCUGGGUACUCUGCAAGAGAAACAAGUGCUUCUUAAUGCCCUAUCUCCAGCCCCUGGAAAGAGAAACUUUAAUGAGACUUGCAGCCUCCGCAGAGUGAGCAAUCGUUCUCUUCUCCAAAGCCCCUGGUCUUCAUGCUGCCCGUGCUCCCUCAUCAACUGUACACAGGAGGUCCUGCAGAUCAGCCCUGCCCCUCUCUCAUCAACUGUACACAGGAGGUCCUGCAGAUCAGCCCUGCCCCUCUCUCAUCAACUGUACACAGGAGGUCCUGCAGAUCAGCCCUGCCCAUGUAUCUGCUUUAUCCACCUUAGACUUUCUUGUGUUUUUGUUGUUGUUGUUGUUGUUGUUGUUUUAAAAUAGUUUUGUACUUAUUCUUUAACAAUUGUCUAACCUA